UUUGGAAUUAUCGUAAUAUCGAAUGAUUAUUCUUAGGAAGAAAAUUACUCUGUACAUGCACAUAUCUUAAGUUGCUAAAAGUUAAAUUACAAAGUUAAAUUACAUGUAAUGGAUUAAUAGUGUAGGAUAAUUAAAAAGAGUGUCAUUUUUUAUAAAUUACGAAAAAGUUACUUAUAUCUGAACUAAGAAAUGUCAUAAAUAUCAUAAAACGGAAGCAGAAGAAAUAACAUUGAAAGAGAGAAUGAGAAAGAGUAAUAUUUUAAACGUAAAGGUUAGGUGUUAAAUUCUACUCAAAUCAAAUAAAAUAUUUAAUUAAAUAUAAAAAAAAGUUAAAGUAUUUACUUAGUUAUGUUUAUUCCAAAUUGUUUGUUUCGAUAUAAUUUUUGCAAAAUAUUAAAGAAUAUAUACUUGCGUAAAUAAGAAUAUUACUUUCAAAGUCGAAACAAUCAUAUAAACAUUGAUGUAGGAGCAUUAUAAAUUCAUAAUUUUAUUUUGUAUACUUUGUUUGAUAGAGAAAUGAACAUCUUUUUGCCCAUUAGCAGUUGGUAGAUAAUGGUAUUAUAUCAUGAGACGUAAUUUGAUAUGCCAGUUCUGUUAGAUGGGAACACUAUCUGCUUCGCAUGUAUAUACAAGUUUCCGGUGAACCAAAAUAAGAAGAGAAACCUUUGUUUGAGUUAAUGAAUUAAAAACUAUUUGAAAGUGAUCUGUGGAACAGUAUAAUUCAGAGAGAUGAGGACGGAAGUUACAGAGUCACAACCUUUCAAAAACUUAAAAGAAUUAUUCGAUAACGUGGGUAACUUGAAACCAUGGCCAGAAAUUGGAGAACUACGAGAUUCAACUGAUUAUGUGUACAGUGGUUUAGAAAUAAGCGCAGGAAGAACGCGGUUAGAAAAAUUGGAUAGAGAAGUACAUCCGAAAACGUUGCUCUGUCAUGAUAUGAAAGGUGGCUACCUAGAAGACAGAUUUAUAUAUGGAUCAGAAUCUUAUGAUUCUUACCUAUUUUAUCACUGGAGUGUUAUUGACACUUUUGUGUAUUUUAGUCAUCAUUUCAUAACUGUGCCCCCUUUUGGAUGGAUUAAUGCAGCACAUAAUCAUGGUGUAAAAGUUCUUGGUACUGUAAUUACGGAAAGAGAAGGUAUCUGGGAUGUUAUACUUGAAUAUCAUGAAGAAGUAAGAAGAUUUGCAGAUGCACUAAUACUUGUUGCAAAAUUUUAUAAGUUUGAUGGCUGGUUAUUAAAUAUUGAAAAUACCAUUAAAAGUGAGCAAGUUAAUAAUUUAAUUUAUUUUGUAAAAUAUUUAACAGAAAAUAUUCAUGAAGCAAUUAGAAAUUCUGAAAUUAUAUGGUACGAUAGCGUAACCAAUGAAGGAAAAUUAAAUUGGCAAAAUGAGCUUAACAGUAAAAACAUAGAUUUCUUUUUAAACUGCGAUGCCAUUUACUUGAAUUAUAACUGGAUGAAAUCAAAAUUGAAAAACAGUUUGGCACUUGCAAAAAAUCACAGCAGAGAUAUUUAUGAUAUUUAUGUAGGACUUGAUAUUUGGGGAAGAGGUUGUCCUGGCGGUGGUGGAUUUAAUUCAUCAUAUGCUUUACAAAAAAUACGACACGAAGGACUUUCUGUUGCACUUUUUGGUCCAGGUUGGACUCACGAAUUUUUCGGAUCUAAGACAUUCCAAGAAGUAGAAGAUCUAUUUUGGGCACAGUUGUUUCCUUAUUUAUACGUUCAUAUAUCUAUCUACGAAGAAGAAGUAUUCAAAACAUCAUUUUGCCGUGGCAGUGGUAGCAUGUAUUAUCGCUGUGGUCAGGCACUAUAUGAAAGGGAUGGAAAAAGAUUUAAACACAAACCAUUUUACAAUUUAUCCCUGCAAAAUCCACAAAUUUCAGUACCUAUACCGCACAUGAAAUUUACAUCAUCGCCUCAACUUCCAGAACCGAAAAGUGAAAACGAUCGAAAUGAGUGUUCAGAAGAACCGAUACAUUAUGUUUAUGAAACGAGGAAGAAUGUUGUUCGAGUAUUAAAAAAUGUUGUAAAUAUUGAAAAUAAAAUGCCAAUGCUAUAUGGAAAUAGCUUCGAAUUUUGCAGCGAGUUCUCUUUCAGAGGUGGUGGUUGCAUAAAAUUAACUACAAAUGAUCUUACAACUAGGUCAUAUCACAGACUAUUUCUCGUUCACAUCGAAUUUCAACAAGACAUUGUAGCAAUCAUUGCUUAUAAAAAAAUGGAGUCGUCCAUAGCAAAUGGAAGUCAACCCGAACCAAUACUAGUUCUCGGCAAUAAUACAGGCUUAAAAUCCAUCGUUCAUUAUAAAUCAAGGAAUUUGGUUGCCAACUGGAAAAGAUGUCGAUACGUUCGGCCUUGUAGCUUGAGUCUACGAAGAAAUCACGACCUGUACGAGACGUUCAGAAAGCUUAUUGAACAAACUCAAUUGGCUUGUGGCUCGCAAGUUGGCAAUCUGGUGAAACGAUCUUUGCAAGAGCUGAUCCAUCUAGCUUCUACUGUGUAUAAAAUAUUGUUCCAGCUGUGCUUUUUGCUUCUGUUUCGCUGAUAUUGGAAAUUGGAUAUCGGCGAGAAAUCAUGUUCCGUGUUUGUUUAGCAAGGAAGGGAAUACCGUGUGAGCGAGCCACUUCCGCAUUCGACCGGAAACUGCAAUGAGUACAGCUGUGGAUCCGAGGGCCACGCUGAGUGUUCGCCAGAGGACUGCGUGCCCCUUCUCCCCAAGAUACCACUUGCAUCAGAUAUAUCGGACGCACCAGAAGACGAUUUCGAAAUUUUCAACCGUGCCAGGGAUCAAGAAAUCGACGAGAACUUCUAAAGAACGAUUAUCGGCUGUUUCAUGAAAUUUUCGAACGCGUGACUCGCGAGAGACUCGGCUUUCACGUAAUCGCGGUCUUCUACGUGUUUCGCCUUUACCUAUUAAGCUUUUCUUCCUUAUUCGGAAUUUGUUGAUCGAUAUGAAUUAUACGCGAAGAUUGAACAAUGUUAAUCAUUACGUUAACGUUAAAAUGAAUUAUUUAAAUUUGUGUGGUUUUUCUGAUUUUGAAAAUGACGAAUGAAGAGUUAGUAUUGUAUAUAUACGUGAAUCAUAGUUUAAUUUUCAUGAAAAUGGGUCAGGCAGUUCAUUUUUCUCGUGCGUCUUUCAAUCAUUCCAUAAACUAUUGUGUCUGUCUUGUAUCCGUGGGAUCCCGUGUCCGCUUAAAAAUGGUUGUAUGCUAAAUAAAAGAAAAUCCUACGGUA